rnacentral:ncRNA from 1 species
GACGUCCAACUAUAUGUUCGUGACCAGAGCCCGCGGUGCAGGGAAGCCGGUGUGAAUCCGGCACGGUCCCGCCACUGUGACCGGGGAGUGCGCCGCCGUACACACGCCACUGACGAGCGAGAAGUCGGGAAGGCGGGCGGGUGAUGGUCGGGGGGUCAGAAUACCGACGAGAGGCGUUCCGUGUUG